rnacentral:tRNA from 1 species
GGCCCCUUAGCUCAGUGGUUAGAGCAGGCGACUCAUAAUCGCUUGGUCGUUGGUUCAAACCCAACAGGGGCCCCCA